UACGGAGGGUGCAAGCGUUAUCCGGAUUCACUGGGUUUAAAGGGUGCGUAGGCGGGCAGGGAAGUCAGUGGUGAAAUCUCCGGGCUUAACCCGGAAACUGCCGUUGAUACUAUCUGUCUUGAAUAUCGUGGAGGUAAGCGGAAUAUGUCAUGUAGCGGUGAAAUGCUUAGAUAUGACAUAGAACACCCAUUGCGAAGGCAGCUUACUACACGAUCAUUGACGCUGAGGCACGAAAGCGUGGGGGGCAAACAGG
rnacentral:rRNA from 1 species